UCCUUUGAUUAUUUUCUCCAGAUAAUUGUAUAGAUCAGCUUGAACUAGGAGUACGCUUAGGGCACUGGUGGUGAACCUAUGGCACAUGUGCUGCAGCCAGCACACAGAGCCCUCUUUGUCUGCACUUAAAACAAGUUACCUCAACAUCAGCUCCAGUAGCCCAGCAUCGGAUAACUGUACAUAUGGGCCAUGCGCAUGCUCGAAAAGGAACAGUGGCACAAGGUGAUGACGUCACCACCCGCGACUCAUUAGCUGCGACCCUCCCAGUUUUUUCAUGGCUGCAACGAAUGCCCAGAUGGACGAUCAUCUUCUCACCAUUAGCACAGUGAAUCAAUCACAGGAAACCUGAGAAAGAAAAAGAGGGAGAGAAACAAAAUCCUACAAAUCUAAUUUAACUUCCAGUUCCCCCACCGUUCUACCUUCUUAUGCAUGUGUGUGGUUAAAUUAGUUGUCAAGUUAAUAGAAAACUCCUUAGGUAAAAUCUCCUUUAAGAAACACUUCUGCUAAAAAUAAUAAAAGAUAUCUCAU
rnacentral:lncRNA from 1 species